UACGGAGGGGGCUAGCGUUAUUCGGAAUUACUGGGCGUAAAGCGCACGUAGGCGGCUUUGUAAGUUAGAGGUGAAAGCCCGGAGCUCAACUCCGGAAUUGCCUUUAAGACUGCAUCGCUAGAAUUGUGGAGAGGUGAGUGGAAUUCCGAGUGUAGAGGUGAAAUUCGUAGAUAUUCGGAAGAACACCAGUGGCGAAGGCGACUCACUGGACACAUAUUGACGCUGAGGUGCGAAAACGUGGGGAGCAAACAGG
rnacentral:rRNA from 1 species